CCUACGGGUGGCUGCAGUGAGGAAUAUUGGUCAAUGGGCGCUAGCCUGAACCAGCCAAGUAGCGUGAAGGAUGACUGCCCUAUGGGUUGUAAACUUCUUUUAUAUGGGAAUAACUUGCAUUAUGUAUAAUGCUUUGCAUGUACCUUAUGAAUAAGGAUCGGCUAACUCCGUGCCAGCAGCCGCGGUAAGACGGAGGAUCCGCGCGUUAUCCGGAUUUAUUGGGUUUAAAGGGAGCGUAGGCGGGUUGUUAAGUCAGUUGUGAAAGUUGGGGGCUCAACCGUAGAAUUGCAGUUGAUACUGGCAUCCUUGAGUACAGUAGAGGUAGGCGGAAUGCGUGGUGUAGCGGUGAAAUGCUUAGAGAUCACGAAGAACUCCGAUUGCGAAGGCAGCCUGCUGGACUGUAACUGACGCUGAUGCUCGAAAGUGUGGGUAUCAAACAGGAUUAGAUACCCGGGUAGUC
rnacentral:rRNA from 1 species